rnacentral:tRNA from 1 species
GAGCGAGUGGCGGAAUUGGCAGACGCGCUGGGUUUAGGACCCAGUGGGGAAACCCUUGGAGGUUCGACUCCUCUCUCGCUCA